ACUCAACUGAACAACAACGCUAAAAUUCUAUUAAACAGAGCUGACUAAAAUCAAAGUUGAACAAAUCCAUUCAGCUCUGGAAUGCAAUAAUAAAAUAAGAACUGAUGUUACAAGAAAAUGAAAAAGGUCCAGCUUAGUACUGUUUUGAAAAUGUCAUCACCAGAAAGUAAGCCAUUAGAUGAAUUUUUUGGAGUCACAGCAACUUACAUAGGCCAUCUACUAAGGGUAUAAAGCUCCUUUUGCAAACUGGACCAGUGAUGGGCAGGUCUGAACACAGAGUGGCCCUGUUGCUGAGGGUCGGGAAUGCCUCAUUUGGGUUACAGCCAACUGAAGCCUCUGGAUUGAUGACGGACUAAUCCACCUCUUCUGGAAGGGAGACAGGAAGGAAAUGUCUUGCAACAUAAGCAGUAGGAAAAAUGUCCUGCCCCCCACCCCAAGAAGCACUAGUUACUGGCAAAACUGGGACAAGAAACCAAGUCUCCUGAGCUUCAUUAAACAGUUUCUCCAAGUUAAUAAACAUA